AACACACAAAGUAUAUAAAAUCUAAAAGGCCCAAUAACUAGUCAGGAGUAAGUCAAUUUGAGUUCUUUUCAUUAAAAAUUCUUUUAGCAAGUUGUAAGAUAAUUUUUACUUUGGAAUUUCACAACACACAUGGCCUGCACUUCUAAGGAUUAGGUUCAACAUUAUGUUACUAAGUUUAGUAGCAACCUUGAGUCCUGAUGAAUCAUUCCUAUCUAAUUCACUAUUAUCCCGUAUUUAUAGUUAAAAAAAAAAGAGUGAAUUUAGUCAGGUACAUCGAAAAGGGCUACCUAUUGUCAAAGGUCAGCGGGCUUGUGAUGAUGAACCCGAGCAUAGGUCCGUAGGGGAGUCUUGAUGCCUAACACCUUACGCCAUCUGGUGUGGGAGUGUUGACUGAGUGCUCGCUACACGG
rnacentral:lncRNA from 1 species